UGUCAAAACAGCUUCUCUUCUUUCAGGUCAUUUUCAUGUCAAGGUCCUGCAGGCCUCAACACUUCUAUUUUCCCCUCGCAUCAACUUGACCUCUACUUUGAGUCCCCUUCAUUCAAAUGACAGCCAACAUUUCCAGCUUCUUGGACUUGGAUCGUCACAGCGGGGAAACAAAAACUUCACAGAGGAAAAACAUCCUUUUUUGGAGGCCUUUCAACGGCUGCAAGGCACUUGACUGCAAGCAUUGCACCCGAGAGAGAUGGACACAAGAGAUAAGGAGACCUUUGUGUUCCUUUCAUUUGCUUCUAAUACCCCUCCCAGAACAUGAAACCCUCGUAUCUCUUUGCCUUUGGAGCUGCGAAAGUGAGAAAAAGCUGCAGCAUUGAUGGCGAUCAGAAUCAGAAGAGUUUUUAUUUGAAAGGUUUAAGCAGGUUACAAACCCUGUUUCCAUAUAAGUUGGGAAAUUGUGUUAUUGUAAAUAUAAACAGAAUACAAUGAUUUGCAAAUCAUUUUCAAACCAUAUUCAGUUGAAUAUGCUACAAAGACAACAUAUUUGAUGUUCAAACUGAUUUGCAAAUGAUCUUUAGAAUUUGAUGCCAGCAACACAUAACAAAGAAGUUGGGAAUGGUGGCAAUAAAUACUGAUAAAGUUGAGGAAUGCUCAUCAAACACUUAUUUGGAACAUCCCGGUGCAGGCUAAUUGGGAACAGGUGGGUGCCAUGAUUGGGUAUAAAAGUAGCUUCCAUGCAAUGCUAAGUAAUUCACAAACAAGGAUGGGGCGAGGGUCACCAAUUUGUAAGGAAAUUGUCGAACGGUUUUAGAACAACAUUUCUCAACGAGCUAUUGCAAGGAAUUUAGGGAUUUUACCAUCUACGGUCCGUAAAAUCUUUAAAAGAUUCAGAGAAUCUGGAGAAAUCACUGCACGUAAGCGAUGAUAUUACGGACCUUUGAUCCCUCAGGCGGUACAGCAUCAAAAACCGACAUCAGUGUGUGAAGGAUAUCACCACAUGGGCUCAGUAACACUUUAUAAAACAACUGUCAGUAACUACAGUUGGUUGCUACAUCUGUAAGUGCAAUUUAAAUCUAUGCUAUGCAAAGCAAAACCCAUUUAUCAACAACACCAAGGAACGCCGCUGACUACGCUGGGCCCGAGCUCAUCAAAGAUGGACUGAUGCAAAGUGGAAAAGUGUUCUGUGGUCUGACAAGUCCACAUUUCAAUUAUAUUUGGAAACAGAGGACGUGACGUCCUCUGGAACAAAGAGGAAAAUAACCAUCCGGAUUGUAAUAGGCGCAAAGUUCAAAAGCCAGCAUCUGUGAUGGUAUGAGGGUGUAUUAGUGCUCAAAGCAUGGGUAACUUACACAUCUGUGAAGGCACCAUUAAUGCUGAAUGGUCCAUACAGGUUUUGGAGCAACAUAUGUUGUCAUCCAAGCAACGUUAUCAUGGACGCCCCUGCUUAUUUCAGCAAAACAAUGCCAAGCCACUCGUUACAGCAGCGUGGUUUCGUAGUAAAAGCGUGCGGGUACUUUCCUGGCCCGCCUGCAGUCCAGACCUGUCUCCCAUCGAAAAUGUGUGGCACAUUAUGAAGCGUAAAAUACGACAGCAGGGACCCCGGACUGUUGAACGACUGAAGCUCUCCAUAAAACAAGAAUGUGUCAUGGCACACACACUGUCUGCUGUGGGAACACCAAGAGGCUCCACUGUGAGCCAAGCAGGACACGCCCCCAUGCUCGUUGCGCAGACCGCGCCCACGCGCCGACACAGCCGGUGGCAAUCUCCCAACGACACACCUGGGACUAAUGAGAGGCGACAGAAUAAAGAGCCUCGUCGCUGACUGCUUCUCGUCGGAACGUAGCCCUGGUUACACCAUCGUGCCUCAGUCGUUGCCUUGCACUUCCACCCGGAUUCCGAUUGCCUUCCUCGAUUCUCGACCCUCCUCACUCGGAUUUGGACCUCGGACGCUUAUCUCCUGCUCCACGGACCUUGCUUGGAUCACAACCCCUUUUGGAUCUUCCCCUCUGGACUUGGACGCUGCCACAACCAACACGCACCUUCAACAAACCCACGGUAAUUCACAUUGUGUUAAUUUCCACACAUAGUCUAACAUCCACACACAUAGUUGCAUACACACUCCACGUAUUCAUUAAAGACUCAAUAAAUCCGUUGAGCUAUACCUCCUGUUGUUGGGCUGUCUCCUUCCCCCUUGUCGAUACACAACAGAAUGAGAAAGAAAUCCACUUUCAAAGCUUCAACAAUUAAUUUCCUCAGUUCCCAAAUGUUUAUUGAGUGUUGUUAAAAAAAAGGUGAUGUAACACCUUGGUGAACAUGCCCUUU